AAAGCGCCUGUAGGUUGUUUAUUAAGUCUGUUGUUAAAGACUAGGGCUUAACCCUAGGAAAGCAAGAGAAACUAAUAGACUUGAGUAUGGCAGGGGUAGAGGGAAUUUCUAGUGUAGCGGUGAAAUGCGUAGAUAUUAGAAAGAACACCGGCGGCGAAAGCGCUCUACUGGACCAUUACUGACACUCAGAGGCGAAAGCUAGGGUAGCAAAAGGGAUUAGAUACCCCUGUAGUCCUAGCCGUAAACGAUGGAUACUAGAUGUUGCGUUUAAAUGCAGUAUCGUAGCUAACGCGUUAAGUAUCCCGCCUGGGGAGUACGCUCGCAAGGGUGAAACUCAAAGGAAUUGACGGGGGCCCGCACAAGCGGUGGAGCAUGUGGUUUAAUUCGAUGCAACGCGAAGAACCUUACCAGGGCUUGACAUACUACGAAUUCUCUUGAAAAAGAGAAGUGCCUUCGGGAAUGUAGAUACAGGUGGUGCAUGGCUGUCGUCAGCUCGUGUCGUGAGAUGUUGGGUUAAGUCCCGCAACGAGCGCAACCCUUAUUUUUAGUUACCAAUUCGUUGGGUUUUUUAGAAAGACUGCCGGUGACAAACCGGAGGAAGGUGAGGAUGACGUCAAGUCAGCAUGCCCCUUAUGUCCUGGGCUACACACGUGCUACAAUGGUUAAGACAAAGAGUCGCGAGCUGCAAAAGUCAGCUA
rnacentral:rRNA from 2 species